rnacentral:rRNA from 1 species
AGCUGCCUACGGGGCGCAGCAGUGGGGAAUAUUGCACAAUGGGCGCAAGCCUGAUGCAGCGACGCCGCGUGCGGGAUGGAGGCCUUCGGGUUGUAAACCUCUUUUGUUCAAGGGCAAGGCACGGUCUUUGGCCGUGUUGAGUGGAUUGUUCGAAUAAGCACCGGCUAACUACGUGCCAGCAGCCGCGGUAAUACGUAGGGUGCAAGCGUUAUCCGGAUUUAUUGGGCGUAAAGGGCUCGUAGGCGGUUCGUCGCGUCCGGUGUGAAAGUCCAUCGCUUAACGGUGGAUCCGCGCUGGGGACGGGG